UACGUAGGGUGCAAGCGUUGUCCGGAAUCAUUGGGCGUAAAGCGCGUGUAGGCGGCUUGUUAAGUCCGCUCUGAAAGCCCGGGGCUCAACCCCGGGAGGCGGGUGGAUACUGGCAAGCUCGAGUCCGGAAGAGGCGAGUGGAAUUCCUGGUGUAGCGGUGAAAUGCGCAGAUAUCAGGAGGAACACCAAUGGCGAAGGCAGCUCGCUGGGACGGUACUGACGCUGAGGCGCGAAAGCGUGGGGAGCAAACAGG
rnacentral:rRNA from 1 species